UGGGGAUAUGCAUUACUUUCUCCAAUUCAUCUUUAGAAUCAGGUUCCCUUUAAAAUCCAUUCCUACCACUCCAUAUGAAUUAUGGCAUGGUAAGAAGCCAGCUCUUGGGUAUCUCAAGAUUUGAAGAUGUCCGGCCCAUGUCAAGCAAUAGUAGGUAAACAAAUUAGAGGCUAGGUCUUUUAGGGCUCAUUUUAUUGGGUAUCC
rnacentral:lncRNA from 1 species